GAAUUUUGCGCGCGGAGCGGAAUUUUUCUUUGUCUUGGGUGGAACUAAUUAGAAAAGACAUAGAAAAAUUCCGCUCCGCGCGCAAAACUCCGCCUAGU
rnacentral:miRNA from 1 species